CCUCAGCGUCUCUCCCACCCCCAAUCCCCCCCAGGUCUCUCCCCCUUAGCGUCUCUCACUCAAGUCCCGCCCCCCAGGUCUACCCCUCAGCAUCCCCCGACUCAAGUCUCCCCUGAAGACCCCCCUCAGUUCUCCUCAGAUUUCUCCGCAUCAGCAUCUCCCCACUUAGUUCCCCCAGCAGGUCUCUCUUAAGCAUCUACCUUCAGCAUCAGUGUGGGGGGACCUGAGAAGGGAGAUGCUGAAUGGGGAGACCUGAGGGGGACCUGACUGGGGGGAUGCUGAGGAAGAGACUUGCGUGGGGGGCCUGAGUGGGGAGAUGCUGAGCGGGAGAGACCUGGGGUAGACCUGGGUGGGGAGAUGCUGAGCGGAGCCCCUUCACUUCUUAAGCGACUCUCCACUCAGGUUCCCUCCCCCAGGUUUCCCUCCAAGGUGUCCCCCCCCCCCAGUGCUCUCCUCUGAGCUUCCCCAGGUCUCCCGCACACAGGGACUCCCCCUGCCGUCCCCCAGGUCUGCCCGCUCAGGUCGCGCCCUCCGUGCUGUGCUGUCCGUGGAGAAGGCAGCGGGAGCCCUGCCUUCCAGCCGAGGGACUGCCCCGAGGACCCGAGCACGCCGCCCGCUGAGGGACUGUCGCGCGGACCCGAGCACGCCGCAGACUUGCCGUGGCAAAGGCGUCUUUACGCUCUCGGAGCCUGGCGGUGGCCGCUCAAGUGUGUGCGAAUUACAGGUUGGACGGAAGCGGGACGGAGGCAAAGCUCGUGUUCCAGCGUGACUUGCCGCGGACAGCGGGUGCUGUCCCCAGCGGCCUGAUGGUGGCUCUGGACCGCGAUGAGGGAGGGCGGGAGUGCAGGUGUGCAGCUCCCGAACUCUCCCUCCGAGCCAGGCCGAACCGGCUGUGCGCGCAGGUGGGAGAGUCUUGCGUUCUGGGACGCGCUGUCCAGGGUGCGGCUGUGGUAGCUCCAGGACACGGCGGCAGACGCUCCUGCGGAACCUGGAGGACCCCAAGGAGGCCUCGGGCUAACUGCGGACCUGCACCUUGGGGGCCGGCCUUGUCAGGAUAGAGUCCCAGGGCUUUGAAUUCCUGCCCUGCGGUGGGGGCGCGGUGUCGCGCGGGGAAGAUUAUUUAUUACCUUAGAAGUGGAGGCAAAGAAUAUGUUUAAUUGACAGACCCCAGGGACAGAACACAAGAGGUACUUCUGCAGCCUUCUUCACAGAGGCUCCCUAACUUGGCCAGACAUGCAGCAGAAUAAGUGGAAGCAUCAAGACUGCUCAUUGUCUCAUUGGCAGACAGCAUAAUGUUAUGAAGCUGCUGGCACCUGCGGAGGGCGAGUGUCUGGCGUGCUACUGAGAGGGGAGCUACUGAUCGGAGGGUUGCACCUUGGCUUCGGACCCUGACAUCGGCAGAGGAGCAGAGUGACGGGGAUUAACCCCGACCGCCAUUGACUUAACCAGCGCAGUUCUGUUAGGAGGUGCGGUAACAGUCCCGACCUGCCGGUGGGCUCGAAGCCGGUGCCGGUGCAAGGAGGGGGCCGCUCCCGGGGAAGGGCCUGGAAGCCCUGAGCCCCUUCCCCACCCCUCGCCCUGUGAGUCUCUUCCAUCUGCUGAGGUUGCGCCCCUUCUAAGCACCCCGCGGACUUCGCGGCCAGCUUGGGCACCAGCACGAGGACCCCGUGGGCCUGGGACCUGGUGCGUGGAGUGGGGGCGUCUCAGGGUCCCGCAACGGGACCUCACUAGCACCCGCAGUGAGUGUCGGAGCGGAGUUCCGUUGCAGGACCUGCUGGGGGCAUUCAGAGAGCUUGAGAGCUGGUCUGUGUCCGGAAAGACCCGCACACGUGGCGUCGGAAAUGCUGGGAAGAGCGGCGCUGCGGCCUCCUUUCUGACGUGGGCGGUUCUGGGGUGGGAGGAGGUGGGGGUUUGGAGCCUUUUGCAGGACUGGCCAGUCCUGGGUCCAUGGCCCCAUUGCUCCUUACCGGCCUCCCACCCCCGGGUCACCAGGGCCGGGUGCCGCACAUUGAUGGACGGCCCUGGGCCCCCGCCUGCCAGAAUCUCAAGCCUGUGGCCUGGUCGCCCCCCAGCUCAGGCUUGUGGCCCAACCACCCCGGUGCUUCCCAUGCCCUGUGUGCGUGGCUCUGUCUACGCCUGUGGAUGUAAUCAGCUGUCUUCUCUCCGAGCCUCUCAUCUGUGGACGUGGAUAUUUGGGCGAUGCUGUCCAGCCCACACUGUGUUGAUGGCGUCCAGGCCCCAGUGAAAUUCCCCUCCACCUACGCUCUGCCCGCAGGUCUGGCCGUGCCCACCGCCCUUGGUGCACCCUGGGGCUGGGCAGCGGUGUCCUGUGGGCCUGGCCCCUGCCCCGGAGACUGAGCGCCACCCCUCCCCGGGAGCCUCCGCCUGGGCUCCGAGGCCUGCUGACUCCACGGAUCAGAUAAGCAGGAAGUUCCUGAGAGGAAAACCACAAGCUUUAUGUUUAUUUAAUUCCAGCCAUUCUGUGGUUUUUGGAGAUGGCCUUUAAAGAUUCGUUUUGAUUAUUAUCUCAAAGAGAAUGCAGAGAAGCCCAUGGGUCGGGCUCCAGAGAAAAUACACACAAGGAAGAGAAGUGGGUUUGGAUCUCACCAGGCAGCUUUGGGGCAAACGGCAGGAUGGGGCUGGGCCGUGGCCCCUCAGAGCAGCAGCCUGGCUUGGCCUGCACACGUGGGCCGCAGAGCCUCGCUCCCCAGAAUCCACAUAGGCCAUGCAGUUCAGGCCCAUGGCCACCUGCACUGGAGGUCAGGCUGUGGGGUGGCCUCCCUUCACGGUCGCCAGCUCCUUGUCCACCGCUCUGGCCACCGCGAGGCUCCAGGCCUUGGGACCCCGCCCAGCACCCCCAGAACCAGUGCACUGUGAAGCGGCCCCUAGAAACACUGUAAUAGGCACCCACGUUGGCUGGGGGAGAGGAGGGGUGUGCUCUGGAUGAAGGAAGGUGGCCCGUCAGCACAGGACCCCACCACAUGCCUGCCUUGGCCCCUCGUGAUCGAGGGUGCUUGCGGGUGCUGCAGGCCCGCCUGCUGGAGCUCCUCGGGCAACCUGAGGGCAAGCCUGCUGCCUGGAGCAAGAAAGUCCCUGGGGCCUUUCCUCUGGGUCAGGACCCCCACCUGGAAUUUCAGCUCUGUGCCAAGUGGGGUGGGUCACUCAAUUCCUAGGAAAACUCCAAAGCAGAGUCAAUGUAAAGGUAAUCUCUGCCAUAGGGUCCUCCUGGGAAGGGGAUUAGCUGUGGAAUACCCUCGAGCCACCACGUGGGGACCCCACGCGAACUGGGGUGUGUGCGCAGGGUAGGAUCUGGGGGGACAGGUUGAUGUGUGUCCAUCUCCUCGACUGUCUGGUAGGUCCCUCACUUUGAGUCUGCCUCACACCCCCUUGCUGUCAGUGGCAGGUUUGUGUGCCCUGGUGCGGGGUUGGCACCUGGCCUAUCCCCGGAGGACAGCCUGCUUCCCCUGUGUGGCUCUGUCAGCAAGGAGUCCUCCGGGCCCCUUCCGCCCUCGCAGCCUGGGGACCGUCAGUGGCCUGUUUCCCACCAAACUCUCUUCAUCGACUCCUGUGAUUGCCUCUUAUUUUCACGCUCGAGCUGCUGGGGCCGUGGCCGGUGGGAGUCUGUCUUGGGGACCCUUGCUUGGUGGCCUUCCUUGCUCUCUGGGACACAGGUGCUGAGAUCCCCUGCCCCUCCCCACCGCCCCGGUGCCUCAGGAUUGAGAAACUCCUGGGUGCACACACUUUGGCAGGCACCUCCCUCUCCAGGCACGUCAGAGCCGUGAGUUCGCUAAUGCCCCAGUUCUGCUGUGUCCACGGGCUCAUUCGGGUUCUCCGUGUCCGAGCCUGCGAAUCUGCCCUGUGCUGCUCAGAGCACAGCAGCUGCCAGUCCCUAGGGAGGAGCCUGCCUUGUCCCUUGCCUUCGUGGCUUUAGUGCUGCUCAUUCUGGGAAGGACAGAGCCACCUGUCCUGGGCUCUGCCCGGGGCCAGCAGGGAGUGGGAAGGGACCCCAGCUCUGCCACCAGCUCUGGGGAUGGUCCAUCUGCCCCAUGUCCGCUCAGGGCUGGGGCUGAAGAUGUGGGCUGUCCUGUUGGAGGCCAGUCAGGGAUGUGAGGAUGCAGCGGUGCCCCGUGAGCCCUUGUGGCUGGGGUGUGCGUGUGCACGCAGCUGGGGCCUGUGUUCGUUUCUGGGACAGCAGAAUGAGCAGCGUCUGUCUGUCUGGGCACCUGCUCCUGCCCCUGCAGCUGGGUGGUGGUCACCCUCAGAGGCCAUGUGCCUGUGCACCUGUGAGAAGCUCAGGCUGGCACGGCUGCUGUUCCACUGGCUGCAGCCACUGCGGCUACGGGAAUGCCUGCCAGUGUGUGCAUGCCUGUCCUCUCUGGCCUGCCGUCGGCAGACCUUCCCCCGCCCCCAGUGCUGCAGGUGGUAGAGCCCUGUCUGUAGCGCCUCUGAGCUUUCCGGGGCCUCCUGCGCGUGCUUAUUAGCAUUGAAAAGAACCCACACGUGCACCGAAUGAGCCAGAGGUGGUUUAUCCUUACAGCAGUUGGGACCCUUCCACAUCCUGGGACAGGGCCGAGGACAGGAUGGAGGAGGAGGUCUCCAGGGCCAGGGGAGUGUUCGUGGCUGCUGUGCCCGCUGUGGACUCAGGCAUUUCUGUGUGUUUUCCUUUCCUGGCGCUGCCCUAACAAAGCCACAAGCUCAGGGCUCAAACUGCACCCACCCUUCUCUGUCUGCAGGCCGUAAGUCCCAAACUGCGGGGUCAAGGGGCCAUGCUGUCUCGGGGGCACCUCCCGCCUCCUCCAGUCUCUGGUGUGGCAGCCAUCCUUCUCGUCCCUCACCCUGUCAGUGCCUCUGGGGUCACACGGCACCUCCUUGUGAGGACACGGUCUUGUUGGGUUGUUGGGGUGGGACUGGCUGACUCCAGGAGAGCGACCCCUUUGUACUAUUCACACCUGCAACGGCCCUAUUUCCGGAUAAGGCCUCAUUCUGAGAUCCUGGGGGUAAGGGCUGAGGCCUGUCCUCUUGUGAGACAGUUCAACCCACUGCAGGGUCCCAUCUGUAGCCUCUUGUCUUUGACAGUAUUGAAAACCAUUCACAUUUUAAAAAUCAAUUUUUAGACGAAUGCACAGAGACAUGGCUUUUCCCAACCUCAGGGCUGCCGGCUCCCGUGGAGAGGUGGCUGGUUGCGAGGCUGGGGGUCCCGGGGACACUGUAUGUGUGCAGACGCCUGUGCACCCAGGCGUGCCCUCCGCGUGCGCCCUCUGCUCUCCUCCCUCGCCCCCACGAUGUGCUGGGGGUUGGUCAGGAUCAGUGUGUCUGGAGCAGCCCACCCAGUUCUUGGUGGCUGUGUGAAAAGCAUCCGGGGACUUUCAGGAGGUAAUCACCAAGGCCAGAACGAGCAGAGCUUAUCCUCGCAGAAGCCGCGCUCCUUGACCAAGUGUGACCGAGUUCCGGCUGGGGAGCACCUGGUCCCAGGACGUAGGCAUUUGAAAUAAAUUCUCUCUUCUGAAAUAA